UCGGGAAUUUUGGGCAAUGGGCGAAAGCCUGACCCAGCAACGCCGCGUGAGGGAUGAAGUAUUUCGGUAUGUAAACCUCGAAAGAAUGGGAAGAAUAAAUGACGGUACCAUUUACAAGCUCCGGCUAACUACGUGCCAGCAGCCGCGGAAAUACGUAGGGAGCAAGCGUUGUUCGGAUUUACUGGGCGUAAAGGGCGCGUAGGCGGCGCGGUAAGUCACUUGUGAAAUCUCUGAGCUUAACUCAGAACGGCCAAGUGAUACUGCUGUGCUAGAGUGCGGAAGAGGCAACCGGAAAUCUUGGUGUAGCGGUGAAAUUCGUAGAUAUCAAGAGGAACCCCUGAGGCGAAGGCGGGUUGCUGGGCCGACACUGACGCUGAUGCGCGAAAGCCAGGGGAGCAAACG
rnacentral:rRNA from 1 species